UACGUAGGAGGCAAGCGUUGUCCGGAAUUACCGGGCGUAAAGCGCGUGUAGGUGGUGGGACAAGUCUGCUGUGAAAGCGCCUGGCUUAACCGGGCGAGGUCGGCGGAAACUGUCCGACUCGAGGACGGUAGAGGGGGGUGGAAUUCCCGGUGUAGUGGUGAAAUGCGUAGAGAUCGGGAGGAACACCUGUGGCGAAGGCGGCCCCCUGGGCCGGCCCUGACACUGAGACGCGAAGGCGUGGGGAGCGAACGGG
rnacentral:rRNA from 1 species